GGGUUGUGAGGUUAAGCGACUAAGCGUACACGGUGGAUGCCCUGGCAGUCAGAGGCGAUGAAGGGCGUGCUAAUCUGCGAUAAGCGCCGGUAAGGUGAUAUGAACCGUUAUAACCGGCGAUACCCGAAUGGGGAAACCCAGUGUGACUCGUCACACUAUCAUUA
rnacentral:rRNA from 1 species